rnacentral:rRNA from 1 species
UACAGAGGUCCCAAGCGUUGUUCGGAUUCACUGGGCGUAAAGGGUGCGUAGGUGGAGAGGUAAGUCAGAUGUGAAAUCUCCGAGCUCAACUCGGAAAUUGCAUUGGAAACUACCUUGCUUGAGGGUUGGAGGGGGGACUGGAAUGCUUGGUGUAGCAGUGAAAUGCGUAGAUAUCAAGCGGAACACCAGUGGCGAAGGCGAGUCCCUGGACAACACCUGACACUGAGGCACGAAAGCUAGGGGAGCAAACAGG